rnacentral:rRNA from 1 species
AGCGAACGUUUGCGGCGGGCCUAACACAUGCAAGUCGAACGAGAUCUCGGGCUUCGGUCCGGGUGAAAGUGGCGCACGGGUGCGUAACACGUGGGUAAUCAACCCUUUGGAUCGGGACAACCCGGGGAAACUCGGGCUAAUACCGGAUACGUCGUCGGAGCUCUAGGGCUCUGACGGGAAAGGCCUGCAAGGGCUACCAGAGGACGAGCUCGUGGCCCAUCAGCUAGUUGGUGAGGUAAUGGCUCACCAAGGCGAAGACGGGUAGCUGGUCUGAGAGGAUGAUCAGCCACACUGGAACUGAGACACGGUCCAGACUCCUACGGGAGGCAGCAGUGGGGAAUAUUGCGCAAUGGGCGAAAGCCUGACGCAGCCACGCCGCGUGUGCGAUGAAGGUCUUCGGAUCGUAAAGCACUGUGGGGGGAGAAGAACAAAGCUGGUGAAGAGCCAGCCCUGACGGUAUCCCCUUAGCAAGCACCGGCUAACUCCGUGCCAGCAGCC